AUUCUCGCCUUGGUAGCACAUAUACUGACAUUGGAGCAAUACAGAGAUGACUACUUGGCCCCUAUGAGGGGAUUACAUGCAAAGAAGUGAAGCUUUCCAAAUUGAA
rnacentral:snRNA from 1 species